rnacentral:rRNA from 1 species
GGCUUGUUGAGUAUAAUUUCAGGUCUGACCUGCCCCAUGAGUGAUUAAAUGGCUGCGGUAUACUGACCGUGCAAAGGUAGCAUAAUCAUUAGUUUUUUAAUUGAAAGCUUGUAUGAAAGGUUUGAUGAAAAAAUUACUGUCUCUAAAAAGAUUAAUUAGAAUUUUAUUUUUAAGUAAAAAAGCUUAAAUGGUUAUAGAAGACGAGAAGACCCUAUAGAGUUUUAUAUUUUUGUAAAGAUUUUAGAUUUUUGGAGGUAAAAAUCUAGUAUUUUUAGGGACAGUAUUUUGUUGGGGUGAUAAGAAAAUUAAUUAAACUUUUCUUGGUUUAAUACAUUAAUGUGUGGAUAUGAGAUCCUAUAGUUUAGAUUAUAAGAUAAAAUUACCUUAGGGAUAACAGCGUGAUUUUUUAGAGAGUUCUUAUCGAAAAAAAAGUUUGCGACCUCGAUGUUGGAUUAAAAUGAGUUAUUGGUGAAGAAGCUGAUAAACUAGGUCUGUUCGACCUUUAAAAUUUUACAUGAUCUGAGUUUAAACCGGUGUGAG